GACGAACGCUGGCGGCGUGCUUAACACAUGCAAGUCGAACGAAGAGCGAUGGAAGCUUGCUUCUCUCAAUCUUAGUGGCGAACGGGUGAGUAACGCGUAAUCAACCUGCCCUUCAGAGGGGGACAACAGUUGGAAACGACUGCUAAUACCGCAUACGAUCCAAUCUCGGCAUCGGGACUGGAUGAAAGGUGGCCUCUAUUUAUAAGCUAUCACUGAAGGAGGGGAUUGCGUCUGAUUAGCUAGUUGGAGGGGUAACGGCCCACCAAGGCGAUGAUCAGUAGCCGGUCUGAGAGGAUGAACGGCCACAUUGGGACUGAGACACGGCCCAGACUCCUACGGGAGGCAGCAGUGGGGAAUCUUCCGCAAUGGACGAAAGUCUGACGGAGCAACGCCGCGUGAGUGAUGACGGCCUUCGGGUUGUAAAGCUCUGUUAAUCGGGACGAAUGGUUCUUGUGCGAAUAGUGCGAGGAUUUGACGGUACCGGAAUAGAAAGCCACGGCUAACUACGUG
rnacentral:rRNA from 1 species